rnacentral:rRNA from 1 species
UACGUAGGGUGCGAGCGUUAAUCGGAAUUACUGGGCGUAAAGCGUGCGCAGGCGGUUUUGUAAGCCAGAUGUGAAAGCCCCGGGCUUAACCUGGGAAUGGCAUUUGGGACUGCAAGGCUUGAGUGCGGCAGAGGAGACUGGAAUUCCUGGUGUAGCAGUGAAAUGCGUAGAUAUCAGGAGGAAUACCGAUGGCGAAGGCAGGUCUCUGGGCUGACACUGACGCUGAUGCGCGAAAGCCAGGGAGCAAAGCGGG